GGUACGAUUUGCCUGGUCGACGUUCCGUAAGGGCGCCAGUACUGGAGCGAUUCUGCCAUCCUUCUAGUUAACUGGCUGCACUUAACUGUGCGGUCAGCAAUCUAGAUCAUUUACUUUGAAAAAAUUAGAGUGUUUAAAGCAGGCUUUUGCUAUGAAUACAUUAGCAUGGAAUAAUAAUUUAGGACUUUCCUCCUAUUUUAUUGGUUUCUAGGGGUAAAGUA
rnacentral:rRNA from 1 species